CUUUCCCUGGGCUUGGCUUUUCCAGCCUGCACCCCCAGCUCCCCAGCCCCUAGCCACUGCUGCAUCACCAGCACAGUUUUCCUGUAAUGCCCCUUUUGCUGCCCUUGGAAGAGGGAUGGUUUUACUUGGGCAUUGGGGUGGGGAGAGCUGUUGUGAAGCUCUCAGUACAUAACAUUGACAAUUCCCCCUUUGUCUUUUUGACCUUAGGACACACUGGGGCUGGAGAUGCCCCCUCCAGGGAUCCCCCCACCCUUUCCUCCGAUGGGGCUACCCCCCAUGAGUCAGAGACCACCAGCUAUCCCCCCCAUGCCACCUGGCAUCCUGCCCCCAAUGCUUCCACCAAUGGGGGCGCCACCACCACUCACACAGAUACCAGGAAUGGUACCUCCGAUGAUGCCAGGAAUGCUGAUGCCAGCGGUGCCUGUCACCGCAGCGCUGCUGUGGCUGGGACAGGCCCUCCGAGGGCCCUAUGGAGUGAGCAUGUGGCCCCAGAUGGGCGCAUCUACUACUACAAUGCUGACGACAAGCAGUCCGUGUGGGAGAAGCCCAGCGUGCUCAAGUCCAAGGCAGAGCUGCUCCUGUCGCAAUGUCCCUGGAAAGAGUACAAGUCAGACACAGGCAAACCUUACUACUAUAACAACCAGAGUAAAGAGUCUCGCUGGACCCGGCCCAAGGAUCUGGAUGACCUAGAGGUUCUAGUCAAACAAGAGGCUGCAGGGAAACAGCAGCAGCAGCUGCCACAUACACUUCAGCCACAGCCGCCUCAGCCACAGCCUGACCCCCCACCUGCACCUCCUGGCCCCACCCCAGUGCCCACAGGCCUCCUGGAACCUGAGCCAGGUGGGAGUGAAGAUUGUGAUGUGUCGGAGGCCACCCAGCCCCUGGAACAGGGGUUCCUGCAGCAGCUGGAGGAGGGCCCCAGCAGUUCUGGACAGCAUCAGCCACAGCAGGAGGAGGAAGAAUCAAAGCCAGAACCAGAGAGGUCUGGCCUCAGUUGGAGCAACCGGGAGAAGGCAAAGCAGGCAUUCAAGGAACUGCUGAGGGACAAGGCUGUCCCCUCCAACGCCUCAUGGGAACAGGCCAUGAAGAUGGUGGUCACCGACCCCCGUUACAGUGCCUUGCCCAAACUGAGUGAGAAAAAGCAGGCAUUCAAUGCCUACAAGGCGCAGCGGGAGAAGGAGGAGAAGGAGGAGGCCCGUCUAAGGGCCAAGGAGGCCAAGCAGACCCUGCAGCAUUUCCUGGAGCAGCAUGAACGCAUGACCUCCACCACCCGCUACCGGCGGGCAGAACAGACCUUUGGAGACCUGGAGGUCUGGGCUGUGGUCCCUGAGAGGGAUCGAAAAGAGGUUUAUGAUGAUGUCCUCUUCUUCCUGGCCAAGAAGGAGAAGGAACAGGCCAAGCAACUCCGGCGCCGCAAUAUCCAGGCCCUAAAGAGCAUUCUGGAUGGGAUGAGUAGUGUCAACUUCCAAACCACGUGGUCCCAGGCCCAGCAGUACCUCAUGGAUAACCCCAGCUUUGCUCAGGACCAUCAGCUGCAGAACAUGGACAAGGAAGAUGCACUGAUCUGUUUUGAGGAGCACAUUCGAGCUUUGGAGAGGGAAGAGGAGGAGGAACGGGAGCGGGCCCGGCUUCGGGAGCGACGCCAACAACGCAAGAAUCGGGAGGCCUUCCAGACCUUCCUGGAUGAGCUGCAUGAGACAGGGCAGCUGCACUCUAUGUCCACCUGGAUGGAGCUAUAUCCAGCAGUCAGCACUGAUGUCCGUUUUGCCAACAUGCUGGGCCAGCCGGGCUCCACGCCUCUGGACUUGUUCAAGUUCUAUGUGGAGGAGUUGAAGGCACGAUUCCAUGAUGAAAAGAAGAUCAUUAAGGACAUCCUUAAGGACCGGGGCUUCUGUGUGGAGGUGAACACGGCCUUUGAGGACUUCGCCCACGUCAUAAGCUUUGACAAGAGGGCUGCCGCACUGGACGCAGGCAACAUCAAGCUGACCUUCAAUAGUCUGCUGGAGAAAGCAGAGGCACGGGAGAGGGAGCGGGAGAAGGAGGAGGCACGCAGGAUGCGGCGCAGGGAAGCUGCCUUUCGAAGCAUGCUGAGGCAGGCUGUGCCUGCUCUGGAGCUAGGCACUGCCUGGGAAGAGGUCCGUGAGCGUUUUGUGUGUGACUCAGCCUUUGAGCAGAUUACCCUGGAGUCGGAGCGGAUCCGGCUCUUCCGGGAGUUCCUACAGGUGCUGGAGCAGACUGAAUGCCAGCACCUCCACACCAAAGGCCGAAAGCAUGGCAGGAAAGGCAAGAAGCACCAUCGCAAGCGUUCCCACUCACCCUCAGGCUCUGAGUCAGAAGAAGAGGAGCUGCCCCCACCAUCUCUCCGGCCCCCCAAGCGGAGGCGGCGGAACCCCUCAGAGUCAGGCUCUGAGCCCUCUUCCUCACUUGAUUCAGUUGAAAGUGGGGGUGCUGCCCUUGGAGGACGGGGCUCCCCUUCCUCCCAUCUUCUUGGAGCAGGCAAGAAGCUGGAGAAGGAAAACCGGACUUGAAAUUCCUCAGAGCAUGAGGUUCCUGCCUGUGAAGAAUGAACACAGGGGCUAGAACAAAGAAAAAGAAGAGCCUUCCUUUCUCCUGUUGGGACUUAGUAGGGAUUUUUCUAUCUCCAGAUCAUGGCCUUCGGAAAGCCAAGAAACCAAAAAAGAAAACUAAGAAGAGAAGACACAAGUCGAACAGUCCUGAGAGUGAGACAGACCCUGAGGAGAAAGCUGGCAAGGAGAGCGAUGAGAAAGAACAAGAACAGGACAAGGACAGGGAGCUCCGGCAGGCAGAGCUCCCUAACCGUUCCCCAGGCUUUGGAAUCAAGAAGGAGAAGACAGGCUGGGACACGUCAGAAAGUGAGCUGAGUGAGGGUGAGCUGGAGAGGCGGCGGCGGACACUCCUACAGCAGCUGGACGAUCACCAGUGACCCGAUGAGCUGUUCUCUGCCUCGGGUCUGUGUGAGGCCGUGGCUCCUGGGCCACCCUCACCAUCUGCCUCAGACUUCUUCCUUAGUCUGGUCUGUGUCCACUUUUUCUAAAGUAACCCCACCCCCAGCACACCAUUGUUGGCACCUCUCAAGGUUGCUGUUGGUGUUCAAGGUUCCCCUACUCCCUGGACUAGUGCAGUCCUUGCCCUCAGCCCCAGACCAGAGAUGGGUGGUAUGUGCCAUGUGGGGUGGGUGAUGCCAAUAGAUAAAAGUGUGAGAGAAGGGGUCUCCAGGGAAGAGUGACAGGUUGGUGGACACAGCCUGGGUGGCAGAGGGCAGGGUCGUCACCCUCUAGCAUCAGUGCCUGCUCCUGCCUGCCCUGGUCCUGAGGCUCCACCACUUCUUCCUCCACCCAGGACCUAAUGUACGUGUGUUUUGUUUUUGUUUUUUAAAUAACAAUAUUUAUAACAUGG